rnacentral:rRNA from 1 species
CCUACGGGAGGCAGCAGUGGGGAAUAUUGCACAAUGGGCGCAAGCCUGAUGCAGCGACGCCGCGUGAGGGAUGACGGCCUUCGGGUUGUAAACCCCUUUCAGUAGGGAAGAAGCGAAAGUGACGGUACCUGCAGAAGAAGCGCCGGCUAACUACGUGCCAGCAGCCGCGGUAAUACGUAGGGCGCAAGCGUUAUCCGGAAUUAUUGGGCGUAAAGAGCUCGUAGGCGGUUUGUCGCGUCUGCCGUGAAAGUCCGGGGCUCAACUCCGGAUCUGCGGUGGGUACGGGCAGACUAGAGUGAUGUAGGGGAGACUGGAAUUCCUGGUGUAGCGGUGAAAUGCGCAGAUAUCAGGAGGAACACCGAUGGCGAAGGCAGGUCUCUGGGCAUUAACUGACGCUGAGGAGCGAAAGCAUGGGGAGCGAACAGGAUUAGAUACCCUGGUAGUCCAUGCCGUAAACGUUGGGCACUAGGUGUGGGGGACAUUCCACGUUUUCCGCGCCGUAGCUAACGCAUUAAGUGCCCCGCCUGGGGAGUACGGCCGCAAGGCUAAAACUCAAAGGAAUUGACGG